UAAAGGCCUACCAAGGCGACGAUCUGUAGCGGGUCUGAGAGGAUGAUCCGCCUCACUGGAACUGAGACACGGUCCAGACUCCUACGGGAGGCAGCAGUGGGGAAUAUUGGACAAUGGGCGCAAGCCUGAUCCAGCCAUGCCGCGUGUGUGAAGAAGGCCUUUUGGUUGUAAAGCACUUUAAGCGAGGAGGAGGCUUACCUGGUUAAUACCUGGGAUAAGUGGACGUUACUCGCAGAAUAAGCACCGGCUAACUCUGUGCCAGCAGCCGCGGUAAUACAGAGGGUGCGAGCGUUAAUCGGAAUUACUGGGCGUAAAGCGCGCGUAGGCGGUUUGUUAAGUCGGAUGUGAAAUCCCCGGGCUCAACCUGGGAAUUGCAUUCGAUACUGGCAAGCUAGAGUAUGGGAGAGGAAGGUAGAAUUCCAGGUGUAGCGGUGAAAUGCGUAGAGAUCUGGANGNGANAUACCGAUGGCGAAGGCAGCCUUCUGGCCUAAUACUGACGCUGAGGUGCGAAAGCAUGGGGAGCAAACAGGAUUAGAUACCCUGGUAGUCCAUGCCGUAAACGAUGUCAACUAGCCGUUGGGGGAUUUGAUCCUUUAGUGGCGCAGCUAACGCGAUAAGUUGACCGCCUGGGGAGUACGGUCGCAAGANCUAAAACUCAAAUGAAUUGACGGGGGCCCGCACAAGCGGUGGAGCAUGUGGUUUAAUUCGAUGCAACGCGAAGAACCUUACCUGGUCUUGACAUAGUGAGAAUCUUUCAGAGAUGAGAGAGUGCCUUCGGGAAUUCACAUACAGGUGCUGCAUGGCUGUCGUCAGCUCGUGUCGUGAGAUGUUGGGUUAAGUCCCGCAACGAGCGCAA
rnacentral:rRNA from 1 species